rnacentral:rRNA from 1 species
AACGAACGCUGGCGGCAUGCCUAACACAUGCAAGUCGAACGAGACCUUCGGGUCUAGUGGCGCACGGGUGCGUAACGCGUGGGAACCUGCCCUUAGGUUCGGAAUAACUCCCCGAAAGGGGUGCUAAUACCGGAUAAUGUCUUCGGACCAAAGAUUGAUCGCCUUUGGAUGGGCCCGCGUUGGAUUAGCUAGUUGGUAGGGUAAAAGCCUACCAAGGCGACGAUCCAUAGCUGGUCUGAGAGGAUGAUCAGCCACACUGGGACUGAGACACGGCCCAGACUCCUACGGGAGGCAGCAGUGGGUAAUAUUGGACAAUGGGCGAAAGCCUGAUCCAGCAAUGCCGCGUGAGUGAUGAAGGCCUUAGGGUUGUAAAGCUCUUUUACCCGGGAUGAUAAUGACAGUACCGGGAGAAUAAGCACCGGCUAACUCCGUG